UCUCAGCUGAUUGCCAUCAUAAAAAAUGGAAGCAACCAAGUUGUUCUCAUCUCCCAUGCUUUCUCGGAGACCCCUUUUACCGCUCCAGCAAACAAAGAACACAAAGGAAUAAGAGAGCCACAGUCCACGCCGGAAAAUUCACGGUGAGCUGGCCGUUGUCAUCAAGGCAAAAAAAGAAGGAUUAAAUGGAGGAGAUUAUUGGGGUCACACUGUGGAUGAGAACAUGAUCGUUUUAAGAAUGCGUAUCAAGGAUAUGAAAUUAUUAGAGGGGAGACAUCAUGAUGAUCAUCAGGAUCCUUCUUCGGAUUGGAUGGAUUGGGAGAAGAAAUAUUACGUGCAUUAUAAUGCAGAUGUUUGUGAGGCAAUGGGGUUGUUGUAGAAUUAGUUAAUGAAUGUUAGACCUAGUUUGGGCUUAGGAACCGUGGCACUUGUCACUUUCUCUGUGCUAUUAUCGGCUGGAGUGGUUUUGUUUCAUGCUCUAGAGAUAUCUAAGGGAAUCAAAUCCGGGUUUCAUUUCAUCUAAGUUAAGGCAAAUAAUAAAUGUCUUUCUUUCACAAAUAUUCUAAAUGAGAUAAUAAAAUAAACUAAGGCCAG
rnacentral:misc_RNA from 1 species